GUCCUGGCAAGAGACAGUUGGGGUCAGUUGGAGAGCUUGAGGCGAGUGACAGAGAAAAGAAAGGAGACAGUCGGUCGCAGGGAAAGGAAGUGGAUAGCCUCAGACAAGGAGCGGUGUGGACCCCGGUGACUGGAGAGCUGGGGGGAGCAGAGCCGAGGAAAGCCCAAGCUGUCUGAUCAGCAGGAGGAGAAGACGCAGGCGAUCCACAAAGUGCUGCGGUGGUGAUUGAUCCGGUAUCUGUUCAGAUGGUCGACCAUGUUAUGGUCGACAGUCAUUAGGUUGACCACUAUUGGUCGACAUUGACAUGGCCGACAUGGACACAUGGUCGACACAUGAAAAUGGUCGACGCAUGAAAGGUCGACACAUGAAAAGGUCGACAUGAGUUUUUUUUUACUUUUUUUCUUUUGGGGAACUUUUCCAUACUUUACGAUCCACGUGCACUAUGAUUGGAACGGUAAUCUGUGCCGAGCGAAGCGGUAGCGGAGCAAAGGCACCAUGCCCGAAGCAUGGCGAGCGAAGCGAGCCAUGCAGGGGGCGCGGUGCACUAAUUGGGGUUCCAGUCACUUUACGCAAAAAACGACACAAUUGAUCCCCGGUGCGGUGCUAGCUGUACCCAGGCAGAGCAGAAGCAUCACGAAGGGGGCCACCCAGAGGAGGUGAUCGCAGCCAGGAGUGACAGCGAGAGGCACAGCCAGAACGCAGUGUGAGCAUCAGCACAAAUUGGCCAGUAGAAGUGACCAUGCAGAAAAUUGGCAAAUACUGAAGGGAAAUUCUGGUGGCAUUUGACCAGGAAGUAAAAACCUGAUAAAGUGAACAAGGUCGUGAAGGUGCUGAACCACAUGUGGAACGCAUGACGGCGGACGGCACUUCCUGUUUCCGGCCAGAUUCAACUUCUAGUUUAGACGCCACUUCCGGCAAACGUAAUUGCCGCUGAACAUCUUCCUGCGCGAAUAGCGGGAGAGAGCCGCCAACAGAGGGGGAGAUUACCUAUUGAGGAUUUCUUUAAAUAGAGAAAGAGACAGUUAGGACAGCAUGCUUCUGAGGGAGGACCAAUGAAGGUCUGAAACGCAUUAAGCUGCUGAACAACAAAGGGGGACCAGAGCCAUUAGGAGGCAUCUAUUCUGAUACAGCAUUUGGAUCGAUCCGGACGUUAUACUCUGCUAUUACCAUCUGUCAGGGAAGUUUGUGAUUCCUGUAGGUUUGCUGGAUACCCAUUGUUGGUAGAUAUGCUACUUUGAUUGUUUUUAUUCUGUGAGUGCAUUUUAUUAAAAAAUUGUUACCCCUUUUAAAAAA